AAGAAGUUGGAAAAAGGUAAAAAAUAAAUUCAAAAGGAUUUAGGAGAGACAAGUCACACGGGCUAUUGUGGGCUGCUCAGGUUGGGCUUAGAUCGUGCGGGUUGCUGCUGUGUAGGCUUGGGCCGCAUGCAUGUGCCCUUGCUGGGCAUGAGCCUUGUUACUGGCAUGCAUGCAGGUUGUUGUACACAUGUGAGGCACUUCUUGUGCAUCUGUGUGCGUGUUGGGCGUGCAGGGUUGUUUGUUCGUGCGCCUCAUGUGCUAUCUUUUGUGGGCAAUGGACCUGCAUAUGUAGGUGGGCUUUCCUGCACAUGUGGUUGCCCAUGCAUAUGCAAAAGGGAUGUCACAUGCAUGACACAUGCUAUCCGCAUUCUCUUUUAGGCCUUCACCUACUUUGGCCAU
rnacentral:lncRNA from 1 species